CCUACGGGUGGCAGCAGUGGGGAAUAUUGGACAAUGGGCGAAAGCCUGAUCCAGCCAUGCCGCGUGUGUGAAGAAGGCCUUCGGGUUGUAAAGCACUUUCAGUGGGGAAGAAAGCCUUGGGGCUAAUACCCUCGAGGAAGGACUUCACCCACAGAAGAAGCACCGGCUAACUCCGUGCCAGCAGCCGCGGUAAUACGGAGGGUGCGAGCGUUAAUCGGAAUUACUGGGCGUAAAGCGCGCGUAGGCGGUCUGAUAAGCCGGUUGUGAAAGCCCCGGGCUCAACCUGGGAACGGCAUCCGGAACUGUCAGGCUAGAGUGCAGGAGAGGAAGGUAGAAUUCCCGGUGUAGCGGUGAAAUGCGUAGAGAUCGGGAGGAAUACCAGUGGCGAAGGCGGCCUUCUGGACUGACACUGACGCUGAGGUGCGAAAGCGUGGGUAGCAAACAGGAUUAGAUACCCCUGUAGUC
rnacentral:rRNA from 1 species